rfam:Fonsecaea erecta strain CBS 125763 Scaff27, whole genome shotgun sequence.
GAGGCUUUAGUUUAACUGGUAAAACAUGCGACUUUUAAUCGCUAUAAUAAAGGAUCGAAUCCUUUAGGCCUUA